rnacentral:rRNA from 1 species
AGCAGCCGCGGUAAUUCCAGCUCCAAUAGCGUAUAUUAAAGUUGUUGCAGUUAAAAAGCUCGUAGUUGAAUUUCGGGAUCAAUAUAUCGGUCGUGCCUUUGGUACGUACUGGUAUCAUUGAUUUCUCCUUUCUGACGAAUCAUGAUGUCAUUAAUUUGGUGUUAUGAGGAGUUAGGACUGUUACUUUGAAAAAAUUAGAGUGUCUAAAGCAGGCAUUAGCUUGAAUACAUUAGCAUGGAAUAAUGAAAUAGGACGUUUGACCCUAUUUUGUUGGUUUUUAGGAUCGACGUAAUGAUUAAUAGGGAUAGUUGGGGGCAUUAGUAUUCAAUUGUCAGAGGUGAAAUUCUUGGAUUUAUUGAAGACUAACUACUGCGAAAGCAUUUGCCAAGGAUGUUUUCAUUAAUCAAGAACGAAAGUUAGGGGAUCGAAGACGAUCAGAUACCGUCGUAGUCUUAACCAUAAACUAUGCCGACUAGGGAUCGGAUGAUGUUAAUUUUUUAAUGACUCAUUCGGCGCCUUA